rnacentral:rRNA from 1 species
UAAUUUGGGCAAUCUGCCCUUGAGAGGAAAACAACCUGCCGAAAGGCGGGCUAAUGUUCCAUAAGACCACGGAAUGGCAUCAUUCAGAGGUCAAAGCUCCGCAAGGGGCGCUCGAGGAGGAGCCCGAAUCCUAUCAUGGUAGUUGGUGAGGUAAUGGCUCACCAAGCCGUUGACGGGUAGCCGGCCUGAAAGGGUGACCGGCCACACUGGCACUGAGACACGGGCCAG